rnacentral:tRNA from 1 species
UAAAAAAUAAGCUAAAAAAGCUUUUAGGUUCAUACCCUAAGUAUAAAGAUAAUUCUUUUUUUUUAA